UCAGUAGAGACCUACCGGUCUCUCGAGGAGACCCCCUCUGACCUUUUUUCGAGCCCUCGUCUGUUCCUCGGCAGGCCCGCCUGCAAUGGGAGACCUAACAACCCUUGCGAUAACAUGAAUCAAAAUCGUCUGAAUCAAAAAAAUCUAAUUCA
rnacentral:misc_RNA from 1 species